rnacentral:rRNA from 1 species
AGAGUUUGAUCCUGGCUCAGAUUGAACGCUGGCGGUAUGCUUAACACAUGCAAGUCGAACGGAAACGAUACUAGCUUGCUAGUAGGCGUCGAGUGGCGGACGGGUGAGUAACGCGUAGGAAUCUACCUGAUAGUGGGGGAUAGCCCGAAGAAAUUCGGAUUAAUACCGCAUAAUCUAUUCGUAGUAAAGUGGGGGACUUUCGAGCCUCACGCUAUCAGAUGAGCCUGCGUAAGAUUAGCUAGUUGGUAGGGUAAAAGCCUACCAAGGCGACGAUCUUUAGCUGGUCUGAGAGGAUGAUCAGCCACAUCGGGACUGAGACACGGCCCGAACUCCUACGGGAGGCAGCAGUGGGGAAUAUUGGACAAUGGGGGCAACCCUGAUCCAGCAAUACCGCGUGUGUGAAGAAGGCCUGAGGGUUGUAAAGCACUUUCAAUUGUGAAGAAAAGCUAGUGGUUAAUAGCCAUUAGCCUUGACGUUAACUUUAGAAGAAGCACCGGCUAACUCCGUGCCAGCAGCCGCGGUAAUACGGAGGGUGCAAGCGUUAAUCGGAAUUACUGGGCGUAAAGCGUGCGUAGGCGGUUUAUUAAGUCAGAUGUGAAAGCCCCGGGCUUAACCUGGGAACUGCAUUUGAAACUGGUCAACUAGAGUAUGGUAGAGGAAAGUGGAAUUUCUGGUGUAGCGGUGAAAUGCGUAGAUAUCAGAAGGAACAUCAAUGGCGAAGGCAACUUUCUGGACCAAUACUGACGCUGAGGUACGAAAGCGUGGGUAGCAAACAGGAUUAG